CAGCGCCGCGGGAAAACGUAGGUGGCAAGCGUUGUCCGGAAUUAUUGGGCGUAAAGGGCUCGCAGGCGGGUCGUUUAGUCAGAGGUGAAAUCCCGGGGCUCAACCUCGGAACUGCCUUUGAUACUGGCGACCUUGAGUAUGGGAGAGGUGAGUGGAACUCCGAGUGUAGAGGUGAAAUUCGUAGAUAUUCGGAAGAACACCAGUGGCGAAAGCGUCUCACUGGCCCAUUACUGACGCUGAGGCUCGAAAGCGUGGGGAGCAAACAGGAUUAGAUACCCCCGUAGUCCCUGUCUCUUAUACA
rnacentral:rRNA from 1 species